rnacentral:rRNA from 1 species
UACGUAGGGGCGAGCGUUGUCCGGAUUUAUUGGGCGUAAAGAGCGUGUAGGCGGCCAGGUAGGUCUGCUGUGAAAACUCGAGGCUCAACCUCGAGACGUCGGCGGAAACCAUCUGGCUAGAGUCCGGAAGAGGAGAGUGGAAUUACCUGGUGUAGCGGUGAAAUGCGCAGAUAUCAGGAAGAACACCCGUGGCGAAGGCGGCUCUCUGGGACGGUACUGACGCUGAGACGCGAAAGCGUGGGGAGCGAAC